rnacentral:lncRNA from 1 species
CGAGUAUUUGGGGUUGGGUCUGUAUCAGGUCAUUCAAACAACCAGCUACGUCUUUCCAUGGACCCAGCCUAACCCGCUCAGCUAGCAGGUUGGACUUGGAUCCACUAUCUAGACCCAAACAUGAAGCCCGGUCAAGCUCGGCUUGAUUCAACCUAAUCCGUUUGCAAGCCUUGAACAAAAAGAAGCACCUCAAGACAACGUUGAAAAUCCAGCAAUAAAGCUGAAAUUGAAUUCAAAUACUUGCAUAUCCAUAUCCAUAUUUAUUUUAUUUGACAAAUAUAAAUAUAGAUAUUAAUCAAACACAAAACUUCAUAUCCAUGGAUGCAGAUAUAAAUAAGAUACCGAAAGCAUGAAUAUAAAAUACGAAUAUAAAUCAAAUACUUAAAUUUUAUAGCCACAAAAUUAAAAAUAUUACUAAGUAAAUAAUAAAUCAGAUAAAUAAUACAUUAAUAUAGACAUUUAUUUUUUAACAAAAAAUUAUAAAUACUAUAUAAAAUUAAAUAAAAUUAUAAACAAAAUCAGAU